rnacentral:rRNA from 1 species
CCUACGGGAGGCUGCAGUGGGGGAUAUUGCACAAUGGGGGAAACCCUGAUGCAGCGACGCCGCGUGGGCGAAGAAGUAUUUCGGUAUGUAAAGCCCUAUCAGCAGGGAAGAAGAAAUGACGGUACCUGAGUAAGAAGCACCGGCUAAAUACGUGCCAGCAGCCGCGGUAAUACGUAUGGUGCAAGCGUUAUCCGGAUUUACUGGGUGUAAAGGGAGCGUAGGCGGCACGGCAAGCCUGAUGUGAAAGCCCGCGGCCCAACCGCGGGACUGCAUUGGGAACUACCGGGCUGGAGUGCCGGAGAGGUAGGCGGAAUUCCUGGUGUAGCGGUGAAAUGCGUAGAUAUUAGGAGGAACACCAGUGGCGAAGGCAGCCUACUGGACGGUGACUGACGCUGAGGCUCGAAAGCGUGGGGAGCAAACAGGAUUAGAUACCCGGGUAGUC